rnacentral:rRNA from 1 species
GGAGUUAGCCGGUGCUUCUUCUGUGGGUGAUGUCGUCCCUGCCGGCUAUUAACCCGCAGGCCUUCUUCCCCACUGAAAGUGCUUUACAACCCGAAAGCCUUCUUCACACACGCGGCAUGGCUGGAUCAGGGUUGCCCCCAUUGUCCAAUAUUCCCCACUGCUGCCUCCCGUAGGAGUCUGGGCCGUGUCUCAGUCCCAGUGUGGCUGAUCAUCCUCUCAGACCAGCUACGGAUCGUCGCCUUGGUGAGCCGUUACCUCACCAACCAGCUAAUCCGACAUAGGCUCAUCCGAUAGCGCGAGGCCCGAAGGUCCCCCGCUUUCUCCCGUAGGACGUAUGCGGUAUUAGCCUGGGUUUCCCCAGGUUAUCCCCCACUACCGGGGCAGAUUCCUAUGCAUUACUCACCCGUCCGCCGCUCGACGCCUCCUAGCAAGCUAGGAUCGUUUCCGCUCGACUUGCAUGUGUUAGGCCUCGCCGCCAGCGUUCAAUCUGAACCAAGAUACAAAUUACUGA